rnacentral:rRNA from 1 species
CCUACGGGGGGCUGCAGUGGGGAAUAUUGGACAAUGGGGGAACCCUGAUCCAGCCAUGCCGCGUGUGUGAAGAAGGCCCUCGGGUUGUAAAGCACUUUCAGUGAGGAAGAACGCCUGGUGGUUAAUACCCAUCAGGAAAGACAUCACUCACAGAAGAAGCACCGGCUAACUCCGUGCCAGCAGCCGCGGUAAUACGGAGGGUGCGAGCGUUAAUCGGAAUUACUGGGCGUAAAGCGCGCGUAGGUGGCUUGAUAAGCCGGUUGUGAAAGCCCCGGGCUCAACCUGGGAACGGCAUCCGGAACUGUCAAGCUAGAGUGCAGGAGAGGAAGGUAGAAUUCCCGGUGUAGCGGUGAAAUGCGUAGAGAUCGGGAGGAAUACCAGUGGCGAAGGCGGCCUUCUGGACUGACACUGACACUGAGGUGCGAAAGCGUGGGUAGCAAACAGGAUUAGAUACCCUUGUAGUC